CAUUCUCAAACCUUCUCGGUUUCUCGACCGGGAAGGCUUUGGACUUUGGAGGCUUUUGCUGACCUUCCUUUGUUGGAGCCAGCUCCUCUGAAAUGAAUUAGUAGGGUCUACUUUGCCAACCCUUGACGUGAUAAGUUGUUUUCUACGUCUCGGGUUUAGCAACGUUUUGUCCUGGAUCUUGCUUCUAACUGUCUCACAGAAGACAAAUGGUCGAGUGAUUGCCACUUGACCCACGAA
rnacentral:misc_RNA from 1 species